UUGAUGAAAACACUUCAAUUUCCUGUGGAAUGUUGAAGGCACAAGUAAGAUUCCCUUAUAUUCUGUUCUGUUGUCAUUGCAUGGUGAAGUCGGAUGGUUUCAAUUGUGAGGCCAUAAGUCUGUUGCUAUUUAAAGGGAAUAAAAUGAGCAUAACCAGUUGUGAUCAUGGUGUCAUGUGAAGUAUAAUGGACAUCUGCUGAUUGCUGAGAAGAUAAAGCCUCAUUUAAACACCUUGAUGUGCUCUAUGUAUCUCAACAUGCACAUGCAUUCACAUCUUUGCCUUGUACAUUCUUAAUCUGUAUAUCCUUAGCUAGAUUUAUUGGCUUUUGAAUGUCAGUUCUAUUCAUCCUAAGUGGUAUGAAUGCUAAUACAUGUCAUACAAUUGCUCAGCUAUGGAUUUUUGUUUUUGAGGUCCAUGCUCCAAAUUGCCUGAAUAUGCAUAUGCAGACAUGCAUAUUUGACUGAUGAUUGGCAUGAUGUUGCAACAUGUUGAGUUGUUUAAUUCGGUAAUAGGACUCCUAAAUAGGGCUGGCCCUGGUCUGGUUCUGAGCCUUAACCAGUAUUUCUGGUUCUGGGGCUGGGUGGACUGGAAUUGGACUGAAUGGUCCCAGCUGGUUGUGGUUCUGGUCCCAAUCAAAAUUCAACAAAAUUUUUUUUUUCAAUUCCUUUUUUUAAGGGAAAAUUUGGUUUUGGCCCUGAACUGGAGUGGUUGGUUUCAGUCCAGUUCAAAUAUAGUUUCAGUCAAUCUUGGAUUUCUGUUCUGGGUUGGACUGCUCCAUAGUUGGGUCAACUCGUAAGUAUCAACUUUUAAAAUUGAAAGUAUGCUUUAGUGUGUUGUUAUGCACACCUUCCUCAACAAAGGGCAAAUAAUGCUUAAUGUUGCUUCAUCUUUCUUUUUAAUUAAUUAAUUUAUUUAAUUUUAAUCGUAGGUAUAACAGAAUUCAUCUCGUUUCUGGUGUAUUUUUUUUAAAUUGGUUUGAUGAUGCAAAGCUUGUGUGAUUGAUUGGUAUUCAUUUGUUACCUUGUCCAUAGAAACAAAGGCGUACAUCCCAAACUAGAGAAAAACUGAAGCAAUCAUCAAAAGGUGAUGAUGAUGAGGAUGAAGAUAAAGUUGAAUCCCCAGAUGCUAAGGAUGCUAAAAAUGACUCUCAAGAUGAUGACGGUGAUGAAAAUGAGACAAUGCCAAAAGAGGAGAGUGAUCAUGAGGAGAGCAAAUCAGGGGAAGAGGAAGAUGAACCAAAGGAGCAGAUGUCAACUCCAAAGGCAUCCAAAAAAAAUGAGAAGGAAAGUUCAGGAGCUAAAAGCAAGGACAAACUCACACUUGGCAAGAAGAGCACCCAGGCAAAACCAAUAAAAAGUCCUUCAAAAUCUACCAAAAAAUCAUCAAAGCAAGGUGCUGCAGACACUGAUGGAACUUCUUUUUCACAAUCCAAAUCAAAGGGAUCUACAUCAAAGAAACAGAAAGUUGAAAAGGAAAGUCCAACAGAUCGAAGUGCUCCCAGCAAGAACAAAGGCUCAAGCAAGAAACUGUUAGGCAAGUUGCCAUUGAACGCUUCUGCAAAGGACCAAGGUAAAGCCAAAUCUGGCAGGAAGGCUAAGGCAGAACCCAGUAGAGAGGAUAUGCAUGCGGUUGUAGUAGAUAUUCUGAAGGAAGUAGAUUUCAAUACUGCAACUUUAUCAGAUAUUCUCAGACAACUUGGUACCCACUUUAAUGUAGAUCUUAUGCAUAGAAAAGCAGAAGUAAAAGAUAUUAUUACGGAGGUGAUAAACAAUAUGUCUGAUGAGGAAGAAGGGGAGGAAGCUGAGGACAAUGCUGAGGCUGGUGAUGAUGUGGACAAGGAUGGAGAUGGGGAUGAUGAUGAUGCUUAGUCUUUUUCAGUGUGAUGAUUAACUUGAUCAUUGAAGAACAGAAGGUAUGCCACUCCAGGAGGCCAUCUCCAUGGAGGGGUUUUCAACAGUUGUAGUUGAUGACAAGCCAAUCACUGCAAAUAUGGAACGAAUGACUAUUUCCUUAUGAAAGUACACCACAGGUUUUGUACCAUAUGCAUUAGGAACUCUUUUCUUUGUACAAGUAGUGUUGAGCUGACCUUACUUUUUAGUAGUUUCUGUCCCAGGUCCGUUUUCCUCUCAAAAUCCCUUCAUCUUCUCAUUAAAUUUGUCUUUAAGAUGUAUUUAUUGACUGUUCCUCUACAAAUGAGCAGUGAAUGAUUAUCUUUAUUUAAUUGAAUGGCAACUCUAAUGUUGAUUUGCUAGAAGUAUGCUUUUGGAAAAUUAUUGUUUUUGUGCUGUCCAAGCUAAUUAUAGAAGUAGAAUUUGAAUAGUUCAGCAACAUUUCAUAUAUGGUUGUAUUUUAGCUGUUUUGUGUGGGUGUUGCAUGCUCUUAAAUUCUAGAUGAUCAUGACUUAUUAGAAGGAAUUUGAUAUAUUACUACCAAUUGCUGCAUAUCAUGCCGUCAAUGGUCAUAUAUCUAGCAUUUUGGAUGCAACUAUUAUUGUUUUGCAAGAGCAAAAUGUUUUAGUUAACAGGUUCUCAAUGCUUGCAGUAAUUCAUGUACUUUGGAGCUCUUUGGGAGAAAUAAUGUGAUCAAGUCUUUGAGUUGAACAUUAAGUGAGCUCCAGAGCUCACCCUAGUGGUGUUAUGACUUGACUCAGAAUUCUUUUGAAGUUUGUGCAUUGUUUGCACUGUCAUCCUGUUGAACGGAAUGUGUUAUUAUUGGUUUUCUUGCGUAUAGCCAUAACUUGAUGAUUGCUGAAAACUUUCGCGACCGUGAAAUUGCAUUCGGCUUGCCUUGGAGGUGUUGGGACCCGCAUCCCGUGGCUAAGUAGAUUAGUAAAUUUGGAUCCCCGGAAGAGAUUCAUCAUCAGGUUUACACUGAUGUUCGUAUGGUUUCCAUAAAUUAGCGCUCGUCACCAUCAUGGUGGAUGUUGUUCACCUGAUGCAAGGUGUCGGCCUACCCUGGGACCUUUAGGGAUAUCUAGAUUCUUUAUAGAUUUUGUUGUGUGUUACUUGAGAAGGUUGAAUUGUACUCCAAAAUCAACCACAAUGAAAAAUUAUGUUUAAAGUUUCAACAAGUAGGCUCUAAACAAUGAGCUUUUAACUUGGAAUCUUCAAUGAAGGGUUUUC
rnacentral:misc_RNA from 1 species